rnacentral:rRNA from 1 species
GAUGAACGCUGGCGGCGUGCCUAAUACAUGCAAGUCGAGCGAACGGACGAGAAGCUUGCUUCUCUGAUGUUAGCGGCGGACGGGUGAGUAACACGUGGAUACCCUACCUAUAAGACUGGGAUAACUUCGGGAAACCGGAGCUAAUACCGGAUAAUAUUUUGAACCGCAUGGUUCAAAAGUGAAAGACGGUCUUGCUGUCACUUAUAGAUGGAUCCGCGCUGCAUUAGCUAGUUGGUAAGGUAACGGCUUACCAAGGCAACGAUGCAUAGCCGACCUGACAGGGUGAUCGGCCACACGGGAACUGAGACACGGUCCAGACUCCUACGGGAGGCAGCAGUAGGGAAUCUUCCGCAAUGGGCGAAAGCCUGACGGAGCAACGCCGCGUGAGUGAUGAAGGUCUUCGGAUCGUAAAACUCUGUUAUUAGGGAAGAACAUAUGUGUAAGUAACUGUGCACAUCUUGACGGUACCUAAUCAGAAAGCCACGGCUAACUACGUG